AAUGUCUUUAGUAGCACACAGUCGGGUGACAAGAGUUUCCGAAUCACGUGCAAUGGGGUCGUGAACACAAACCCGCCCCCUGAGAGCACGCCCAUGCCCGCUUUUUUCCCGUACGCAUCCACACACACCAAUUCGGGCUCCAUAUCUCGGGAGGCCACCAACAACUUGGCAUACACUACAUCUCCCGGUAACGCAUUGGGCCGAUUCUUCUUGGUCGCCCCUUCAAAGGCCAUAAAGGACAAGGAUGCGGGUUCAGAUGUGCCAAUAUCCACCCGGAACGUGUCGCCGGCCUUGGCCAAGAUCACGCCGAUAACGUGCUCACCACGGGCGGCAACAUAGCGUUUAGCGUGCGUGUCGACCCAGUAGAUGGCCUUGGGAGCCAAUUUCUCGGCCGAGGAUGGCAAGGGCUUGUGUCUAAGCACGCCCGGACGGGUCACAAUGGCGUGGGGUCCCUCUCGCCGAAGACCAGGUCCCAGGAUAACGACAUCUGAGGGCGGAAUCUCGGGCACGGGAUCUCCGGGGAUUACAACCCGAGCAGAUGGCGAUGAUUUAGCUGACACAUUGUCGGGAUCGAGCUCCAUUUCAGCGGGCAUAUUCAACACAUGAGGGUUCGGAGGUCUGAAUUGUUGUUUGUUUGCAUGCUGCAGAUUCAAUGUUUUUGCGUACGAUUGGGAGCCCCUCACUUCCUGAUGCUAAACCCAGCUUUCAUUCUGUCCGUCUGUCCGUCCAACCAGGUGACUCAAUUCAAGGUGCCUUUCAACUUCGGUCGAAGUCUGAUCUGGUGUACUUCGUUCAACGUAUGGAAGCGAAGCAGGUGCGAGUCAUUCUCCGUUCCAUCCCUUGCUCCAUCAACGUCAGAAUCAUCAUGAUCAUCAUGAAAGCUGUCGUUUGGAGAGCUAGAGCUAUUUAACGGGGGAAAACAGCCACUUCCUGUUGGAAGAGCCGAGUUUUGACCUUCCAUCAAUUCAUAACAGAAUGAAUAGUGCACCUUCACUCGAACCUGAGAACAAGAUUGGAUCCGAUUUUGGGCUUAGAAUGUGUGAAUUAUUGUCAACUAUUUCCAAUGUUCCAGUGUAAAUUGAUCAUGUGAUUUGAAAUGUUUAAAAAGAGUUUUUAUUUCAUGUUGAUACCUUAACCUUUAUUUUUUAGCCACUCAAAAAAUGGAAAUAAAUAUUUAAAUCUUUUAA